AAAUUGAAGAGUUUGAUCAUGGCUCAGAUUGAACGCUGGCGGCAGGCCUAACACAUGCAAGUCGAACGGUAACAGAAAGCAGCUUGCUGCUUUGCUGACGAGUGGCGGACGGGUGAGUAAUGUCUGGGAAACUGCCUGAUGGAGGGGGAUAACUACUGGAAACGGUAGCUAAUAC
rnacentral:rRNA from 1 species